rnacentral:rRNA from 1 species
UACGGGGGGGGGCAAGCGUUGUUCGGAAUUACUGGGCGUAAAGGGCGCGUAGGCGGUUGGAUAAGUCAGCUGUGAAAACCACGAGCUCAACUUGUGGCCUGCAGUUGAAACUGUCUGGCUAGAGUGUGGGAGAGGGAAGUGGAAUUCCUGGUGUAGCGGUGAAAUGCGUAGAUAUCAGGAGGAACACCCGUGGCGAAGGCGGCUCUCUGGUACGUGACUGACGCUGAGACGCGAAAGCAUGGGGAGCGAACAGG